rnacentral:lncRNA from 1 species
CUUCGGCUCUGGUAUUUAUGAUGGGCCAGCCUAAUUCGAUGGGCUGUUGAUAAUGGGCUUUGUACAGUACGCCCUUCUGUGUGGGCUGGGAAGAGGAAAGAGUAGGAGCGAUGGAGGAGCAACCGAACAAAAAAUUGAGCAUUCUCAAAAAAAAAAAAAAUGAGCUUCUGGCGCUGGUGUGAAUGGAUGCGGCAGCGGCAGGCUAGUCAGCUCGGCCAAAACCUGUCGCAUGUGUGAAAACCUAUCUUGGUAUCAUAACCAAACAACAAAAUUGGUGUUAGAACUUGUUUUAAUACAAAUGCUGAUUUUUUUGACAGAACUCCACGGCUGCGUUUCCCACCUAACCAGCCGCAACGGCGCUAGAGUACACAGUCCCCGCGCGCUGCUCCCGCGUGCGCUCGCGAGCCGAUCCCCGCCACACCCAGCAACAGCCCAAGCACGGAAACAACUGGGCCAGACACGGCGCAGGUCUUCACAUCCGGCCAAGCAGCCAGGAACCAGCCCUGUUGCCCUCCCUUUUGGCUGAUGUUGCACUUGUGUCU